rnacentral:lncRNA from 1 species
CAGAACCCCUAAAAAACGCGAUUGUUCUUCUUCUCCGAAUUUUGUUCAAAUCCGAGCGAGUGAAGCCCAAAUCCUAAUUCAUGCGUCCCUCCUUAUCUCAUCUCACCAUUUCUAACGAUUUCUGACACUAAAAAUGCUUCCUCCCUUCACUCUCUCAACUCAGAGAUUUAGCACGCGAUUGGAAGGUCCUAGAGACGAAUCGUUGGAUGAGGAUGAGUCAUUGGAUUGAAUUUGUUCAACCCUCCAUUCACUCUCUCAACUCAGAGAUUUAGCACGCGAUUGGAAGGUCCUAGAGACGAAUCGUUGGAUGAGGAUGAAUCGUUGGAUUGACUUCGUUCAAUCCAAGCCCUAUUUUCAUCAGGGGUUCGUUCUAUAAAGGACGGGAUCCGAUUUUGAGAAGGGGGUUUUUUUUGGAGAGAAGAAGAUCUGAAGGCAGAUUCAAGAGGAGUAAAAUUCUAGAGCUUAGUGUUCUUCACAUCUAUUAUUGCUUUUUUUCUUCAUUCGUAGUGUUAAUUCUAAAAAAACAUAUACAGAAAUGUUUAAAGUCCUGUGAAUCUAUUGUUGCUUGGUUCACUGUCCACCCGCUUCGAAAUACAUGAAUUAUGUCCUAAAAGUCAUUGGAAUUCGUUGUUGAUCGAGGCAUUGAUUUGUGGCUGCUGUUGCAUUGCAUCGAUUUCAAGUGUUGGGACUCCUUCACUUUUUUUUCAGGUUUACCUCUGCUUCUUCUAUUAUUUCUAUUGUGAAGUGAAUCCUAGAUGGCCCUGGACCGAUUGUUAAAAUGAAUUCAGUUGUGAUAAUAGAUGAGGCUUGUAUGGUUACCCUCGACUUCAUUUAUUGUUAUGCUUUCAACGUUUCCCAUGAAUUCAUGUGUAGUGAGUCAGUUUCUGAAUAGACGAGGAGUAACAUUUGUUUGGUUUCAUCAUCGUAUUCGUGUUUGUACUGACUUGUAUUAUCCUUCAGCUCGUACCUUCUUCGAAUUUGAUCCCUACUGAUGUUGCAAAUUUGGUAUAAGAUUGUUUUAGUAUCAUCCUUCAGCUCAUACCUGCUUCGAAUUUGAUCCCCUGCUAAUGUUGUAAAUUGGGUAGAUUGUAGCUUUAUAGUGCCAAGGUUGUUUCCUGUUGCAUCUGUUCAAAAAUAAGCUUUGACGAGAAUUCAUCGCCGUUGUUUGAUUCCUGAAUGAGUGUCUAAGUCGUCUUUGAAAUGCUGAGAAUUGAACACCAUCUUAUAACCCCCUAUUCUAACUGUCACCACCUCAUAUCUUAUUUUCUCUUUGUUAAUUUUGGUUUCAGUCGAGAUAGGCUGUUUAUUUGACCAAAUAUCAGUGGUUUCUCGCUAGGCGAUGAUCAUUCCUUAAUAAUUUGAACUUGAAGCUGUCCUAAUCUACUUUGUUGAUGAAAAUUUAAGCACGCUUCCUCGAGCUGGUUCUGCCUGUGUAUGUGUAGUCUAUUUUUUGUGCUGGAAAUCAUUUGAAUCAUUAGCUAUUCGAUCUAUCGUCGCCUUAACUUCGUGACCCUGGUGUUAAGUUUGGUGUUUGUAAAGCUGUUAGCUAAUAUUAUUCUCUGAGUUUCUUCCUCUUCAGUCUUAAUGAAGCUGUCUCAUGGCAUUACUUGCUUGCCUGCUGUUGUAGCUGGUGAUUUAUUCAUCAAUUAUCAACCCUCUCCAUCCUUCUGCCAUAGAACACAUACAGUGCAACUCUCAUUCUGUUAGUAAAGCCCCAUCGUCACCAUCUUCCUUCAUUCUCUCAGCGUAAAUUCAUGAAUGUGCUACCAAUCAAAAUGGAUCAAAUUGUGUCUCCAAAUCUAAAUCUCAUUCGGAGUUGUUGUUGUUGGUAUAUCGUGAUUAUGAUUUGAAAAAUCCCCUUUAAUUGUGAAAUUUGAAGCAUAUGUAGCAAACAAGGGUCAUUUCUCUUCUCUUAGUAUAUUUUCUGACAUGAACAGCUAGUGUAACUGUCUUCAAUAAGUUCUGCAGAUUCGUUUGGAUUGCUAUGUUUUAUCUGAUAAAUUUGGUGUUCCUAAUGUGUUGACUGGCAAGGUUUGUGAUGGUUUUAAUAUUGUUCCACUGGUUCAUUUGGCAUUUAUUAGAAUUGUUUGACUAGUAUCAAAAGUAAGAUCCAAUGUUGCUAUCUCACUAUUGUUCUGGCUCUACAUUAGUUAUAGUGGAUUAAUGACUAGUUGGACUGUAUGCCCAGUUUGGACCAUAAAUAGUUUAAUAAUUUUCAAAUGAAUAGGUAGUUUGGAUCGCCUAAUUGGAUUUCGGAUUUAUUGGUAUAGCAUGAGCCAAAUAUUGGGCUCACUUGGUAAGAACCAAGUUAAUUCAAGACCCCACUUAAUUAAUUUUAACCCUUAUAAAUUGAGGUGAGCCAUAUUGGGUAAUAUAAAUAGUUUAUGGCCCUCAUGAAUUAGUUGAAUACCUUUACUUUUAGAAUUGAGGUGCGCCGUGCCAAACAAAAAAUAAUCAUUGCGGGGCCCUCGCUUUAUUAAAUCUCGAAUUGAUCUUUAGAUUCUGAGGCAUGCCAUUUGGUAAAUUUCAUGGGCCUCGCAAAGUUGCGAACGUACAAUUGCUUUAGGCGCGUUAGUUUAAUAAUCUACCUUUCCUAAAUUGGGGUGCGCAUUUAUGUGACCCAAAUACAAAUCUCAAUGAAGUUGGAGUGUGUCAAAAUCCAUGUGUGCAUUUAUGUGACUUGGUUUGAGGCAUAUUUUAACGACGUUGUAAUUCUCUUUAAAAUAAUGAUAAAAGCGGUUUAAAGUCAAAUGUCAUAAGUUAAAACAGUUUUAAAAUCAGAUAAUUUAAGCCAAGUAUGACAAUUGAGUGACCGAGCUAGAACCACGGAACUUGGGAAUGCCUAACACCUUCUCUCGGGUUAACAGAUUUUCUUACUCGGAUUUCUAGUUCGCGGGCUGUUAAACAUAGUCACUCUUUCCUCGAUUCGGGAUUCUAAUUGGUGACUCGGGACACCAUAAAUCUCCCGGGCGGCGACUCUGAAAUUAUUUAAAAUAAUUGAAUCCCGUUUCGAUUGUCCUUUAAUUGGAAAAACUUCCUUAUCUACGUCCUUCGCCGGGUUGUGGAUAUCCAAAAGAAGGUGUGACAGCUCUGGCGAUUCUGCUGGGAAAAUUUUUCCUCUAGAAUCUCUGGUUCAGGGUUCAAGAAUUCGAGCUUAGAAUCAUUGUUGUAUUUGGCUUUGUUCAUUAUUUGAUUUUACAUGUUGACUUAAUGUGCAAAAUGAUGCUUUAACCGCUUUGAUAUUAUUUGAAUUGUACAUAAACUGUUACGAAACCCUUCUCUCUUUAUCCCCGGGGAUGUGCUCGCUGGUCGAGACUCCCUAUUCUGUUAUUGUCAUGCCUUAAAAUAAGAAAGAUGCUCGGACAAGUUAUAAAGCCGGACGAUCUUGCGGGUCCCCGGUACGUAGCCCCCUCCCCGACUCAAGUUAUCCUCUCGGGUACACAGUCUAGAAAACAUACCCAGGCUUAAACGUAGAAUAACAAAACCUCAUGUCGGAUCCCUAGUAGGAACGCUUAUCUGCAUCAUACAUUUGACUUAGGGGACUCAACAUAAUGGUUAGGUCUGCUAGGACAGGUGUACCCAAAAUAACGGACCAUCUUGGUGCAUCAUAUGUGCCACAUGUUGCAUUCAUUCAAGGGCAGAAAGGUCAUUUGACGGACCAAUGAUAGCUGAGGGUAAAUGAAAAAAAAAAGAGAAAAAUAAUGAAAAGAAAAGAGGGUGAAGGGUGAAAAUAAAGCAAGCAGGAUUUAGUUAUGUUUUUGUUAUAUUUUUAUUAAAAAGGAGACAAAGGAUAUGUGAAAAAUUCAAAAAAAAAAGAGAAUAUUUCGCACUUUUUAUUAUUUCCUGAAAAUAAAAAAAGAAGAAGAGAAAAUCCAAAAAUAGUUUACAUAUUUCAUCGUUUUUCAAAAAGAGACAAAAGAAAAUAUUUUCUUUACAAAAUUAGUUGUUUUUUUAUUAUUUCUUGCCCGUAUCCAAUUUACCGGAACUACGCAAACCUGAUUCUCGUCUUUCGAGGCGUGAUACGUAGACAACCCACAUAAGGUUCGAUUUUCCUUGUAAAUCUUUGAUUCUUGGCUUUGCAGGGUCAUAACCAGAUUUUGCACUUCUAGCUACUUUUAGCUACAUAGGUUAGUUUUAGAAUUCAGAAGUUGCUUGUUGGAAGUUGUGUGAAUUGAGUUGUGUCAAUGGACUCUACUGUUGAAAUUCUUAGAGUUCAAGUUGGAAUUCUCUUGUCAAACAUCUUUUAUGCCGGCGAAAGUUCUGUUGAGAUCAGUCUUUGUUUGUUGGAGUAUUGUUUGGUAAUUUUAAUUCAAACUUCUUUUAUGCUGGCGAAGGUUCUGUUGAGAUCAGUCUUUGUUUGCUGGAGCAUUGUUUGGUGAUUUUAAUUCAAUCUAUGAACUUUUUGUGGGUCAAUUUUUGAAAGAAAAUCCUGCAUUAAAUACCAAUUCUUUUUGUGCUAAGACUAUGGAGUUUUGAAACUUGUCUUGUUGAAGUUUGCCAGUUUUGUGAAGUUUUUGGAGUAAAUUGAUAGAUGAAAUUCUCCUAGUUUGAACUUGUUACCACUGGUUUCUUAUAGCUGUUAUUAGUGUUGAGUUUAAUAGAGGAGAUUCAGUUGGACUAGAGAUUGAGCAGCUUGAAUUGUUAUUUGGUUGAGCAUACAGUAAGCUUACUCUGCCAAAAUUUUGUGUCCAUUGAGAUUGGUGUCAAGUUAAGGCAGUGAUAGUUUGAAAUCUUGUUUUUACUUAUAAAAAGUUCUCUUUGUUGAAUUGAAUGCUCUUGUUACAUAAACUAUUGCCCAGUUGGUUAGAACGUGCUGACAGAAGUUGUAUGUUUGCUGGAAAAUAAUUUGCUGCUUGUUUUCUGUUGCUGUAAAGGAAUUCAUACUUGCUGUUCACAGCCCUGCAUUGUUCAUUUUUCGCUCAACAAUGAAAAUUUCUGCACUUCAUUAAUUUUUUUGUUGUUGUAAAGGAUUUCAUACUUACUGUUCACAGCCCUCAUUGUUCAUUUUUGCUCAACAAUGAAGAUUUUCACAUUUCUUUAAUUGAUUGUUGUUACUAUAGUUUUUCUAAACAGUUGAGAGAAUUUUGCAAAAGUUUUAGCUUCAGUUAACUCAACUGCGUUGCUUCAGUUUAUAUGCCAACAAUACACUAUUGACAUUCAAGUUUUGAGCUGUUUUUUUAAAGUAGAUCCCGUACUAUUCAACUAUACUUUGUGGUUAUUCUAACUCAAUAUUACUGUGAUUCUAAUGCUUUGUGUCUACAGUUGAGGUCAUCAUUCCGGGCUGAAAAUUUUUGUUCCUAUUGCGAUCCCGUACUAUUCAGCUAUACUUUGUGGUUAUUCUGACUCAAUAUUACUGUGAUUCUAAUUAUUUGUUUCUACAGUUGAGGUCGUCAUUCUGGUCUGAAUGUUUCUGUGCCUAUUGUUGCUGAAUUUAAUGCUCAAGGUGUUGCUGAAGUUUGAGUUUUGAGAAGCAAUUGAAUAGCGAACCUGCGAGUUUAUUUGAAUUGUAGAAUUUUGCAUUUAAAUGAAAGUUGUUGAUGUAAUACAAGUUUCCUACGCAUUAUUUGUAUUUUUCUACAAUAUUUUAUAAACCUGAAACUGGGUGUGGACGUUAGAACUUGUUUGAAAAAUUUUGAACUCGAAUAAGAGUGUUUUGAACUGUUAUUGAAGGUUGUUGAAACAACCUUGAAAAUGUGCACUUUUUGUACUAGUUGGGUAGUGAGUGCAAGUUGAUUUUUCUGCA